CCAUGCCAAGUCGAGCGGAUGAGUGGAGCUUGCUCCAUGAUUCAGCGGCGGACGGGUGAGUAAUGCCUAGGAAUCUGCCUGGUAGUGGGGGACAACGUUUCGAAAGGAAGGCUAAUACCGCAUACGUCCUACGGGAGAAAGUGGGGGAUCUUCGGACCUCACGCUAUCAGAUGAGCCUAGGUCGGAUUAGCUAGUUGGUGAGGUAAAGGCUCACCAAGGCGACGAUCCGUAACUGGUCUGAGAGGAUGAUCAGUCACACUGGAACUGAGACACGGUCCAGACUCCUACGGGAGGCAGCAGUGGGGAAUAUUGGACAAUGGGCGAAAGCCUGAUCCAGCCAUGCCGCGUGUGUGAAGAAGGUCUUCGGAUUGUAAAGCACUUUAAGUUGGGAGGAAGGGCAGUAAGUUAAUACCUUGCUGUUUUGACGUUACCAACAGAAUAAGCACCGGCUAACUUCGUGCCAGCAGCCGCGGUAAUACGAAGGGUGCAAGCGUUAAUCGGAAUUACUGGGCGUAAAGCGCGCGUAGGUGGUUCGUUAAGUUGGAUGUGAAAGCCCCGGGCUCAACCUGGGAACUGCAUCCAAAACUGGCGAGCUAGAGUAUGGCAGAGGGUGGUGGAAUUUCCUGUGUAGCGGUGAAAUGCGUACAUAUAGGAAGGAACACCAGUGGCCGAAGGCGACCCACCCUGGGCUAAUACUGACACUGAUGUGCGAAAA
rnacentral:rRNA from 1 species